ensembl:lncRNA YWHAH-AS1 YWHAH antisense RNA 1
AAAGCCGACACCUAUUGAGUUGCAGUUAAAAUGAGGGCGAAAAAGGCUUUUGUUUCAGUUCUGCAGAUGGUCUGGGAGUUUGUGUUUCUUAGCAAGAAUUUUCUAGACGUUUUGGCUUGAACCAUCUGAAAAACUGCCUCAAGCUUUUGCAUGGUUCCCACUGGGUGGGCUGGGUUGGGAGGGGCUGUCGUGCAUGGUCCGGGAAAGCUGGAGAAGGCUGUUCCUUCACCCCGAGCCUUGGAUUUCUUAUCUGUGAAAUGGGAGGCUGCAAUGAUGAAUGGCAAAGUACCUUUUUUUUUCAGCUCUGAAAGUCUAGGAUAUUUUGCCACUGGAAGACCAGCAGACAAUGUCAUGACAACUCAAGAGGAUACAACAGGGCUGCAUCAAAAGACAAGUCUUUGGACCAUGUCAAGACCUGGAGCGAAGAAGGUAAUGAACUCCUACUUCAUAGCAGGCUGUGGGCCAGCAGUUUGCUACUACGCUGUCUCUUGGUUAAGGCAAGGUUUCAGUAUCAACCUGACUUCUUUUGGAAGGAUCCCUUGGCCUCACGCUGGAGUGGGCACCUGCCCUAGCCCACAGAGCUGGAUUUCUCCCUUUCUUCAAUCACACAGGGAGCACCACUAUGCAAAGACCUCAUCACAUUCACAGCCGUCUCCGCAGAGCCUCGCACUGUGCUUGGCAUAUAGCAGGUGCUCAAUAAAUAUCUGCCAAAUGACUGAAUGCAUCUCGCUAGCCUCAGGAUGCCACCAGGCCCUGAGGGAGCCAGGAAGAUCAGAGGAAAGCUUUUGGAUUCCUGCCACACCUUACAUUAGCAACAUCUUCUCCGAGUCCUGACAGCCAGCCUCCUGGGACACCAUUCAAGCCAGCUGAAUUCCGGUCACCGCUUCACCUUGGAAAGGCAUCCGCAGCCCUCACCAAGCGGCCCCGUAAUUGACGUCACAGCGGGGCCAGGAGCUGCCCUGUUAAUAUUUAAUGUGGCCUUCACUGCGCAAAAUGCAGCCUCUAAGAGCUGGAGGGGCCGUGCAGAGUCUCCAUGGGGUUGUGAGGAGGGCACAGAAGGGAAAGGGCUUUAUAAACCAUAAAGCGCCCAACAGAUGAGCAUUCUGCCGACCCAUUUCAGUCCCUGGCUUAACUCAGAAAGAGCCGGGGCUGCACAUGCCUGCAGUGGGACAAGAAGACUGCUGACCAAGCCCGAACACUAAAUCAAUGGGGGAUUAGGGGCUCCUGGGUACAUUCCAUUGAGACAGCGGGAGAGCAGAGCACUGGUGCCAGCCCAACCUGGACUCCACUCCAGGUUUGCCCCCUGCACAGCUGUGUGACUGGGUCAGCAAGUGCACUGCUGAGCCUCAGUCCCCCUUAUCUGUGAAAUGGGAAUGAUGCUUUCCUUGUAGCACUGCUGUGAAGAUUCAAUGAAACGAGUGAUGCCGAAGACCUAGCUUCACCCAUCGCAGGCUGUCAACACAGGCUGAGACCCUUCUCCAAAACCAGGCCUGGGACCUGAGGUUGGAGAGAGGAGACACGGGGUCCCUUCAGGCAUUCACUGGGCAGAGUGAUGGUGGGAGGGAAGAAGGAGCAAGGAGGCACAGGAAGGAUGACCUGGGAGCCAAGCAUCUCAGGUUUGGACUUUUCACCCUGGUGGGCCCACGCCAGGAGAGGUAUCAGAGAGAGGAUGGGUGGAGGGCCCCAGGAUGGCAGAAGCAGAAGGGCCCUCAUGGACAAUCUCUCUGAUCAUCUGACCCCUUUGUUUGGCAGAUGAGCAUCUGGGAGGGAGUAAACCAUGCCAGGGGCUCACAUGGCACAGCUGGGGUCUGACUGGCCUGCAGCCCUCUGGGGCUUCAUCAGCUAGGGUUUAUCCAAGGCCACAUGCCUAGUCCGGGAGGCAGAUGUGUUGGAAGACAUGAUGCAAUGGCCCCAUUCCUGGUGGUGACCUCCACUUCUUUGGCCAGGACAAUAGGAGGAACCUCAUCCCCCGCCCCUUCCUGGUCUCCCUCCAGUCUAUUUUCCCACGAAUCCUGGGAGCUUCCCAAAACGUAAAUCUGACCUUGUCCUCGCCCUGCUUAAAACCUUUCCAUGAUCCCACACUUAAGGUCUCCAGAGAAAAUACAGGAGGCUCAGUUAAAACUGAAUUUCAAGCUGGGUAUGGUGGCACACACCCGUAGUGCUACUCAACAGGCUGAGGCAGGAAGAUUGCUUGAGGCCAGGAGUUUGAGGCCAGCCUGGGCAACAUAAUGUGACCCUGUCUUAAAAACAAAACAAAACAAAAAGAAAAACAAAAAAACCCCUGAAUUUCAGACAAACAAUGAAUAAUAUUUUAGUAUAGGAAUGUCCCAGAAAUUGCAUACACAUACUACAGAAAUUAUUUGUUGUUCAUAUGAAAUCCAAAUUUAACAGGACAACCUGUAUUUUAAUUUGCUAAAUCUGGUGUUCCUACAUACAUUGCCCUCAGGAAAAAGGACAAAGCCUUUUUUUUCUUCCUUUCUCUUUGAGACGGAGUCUCAAAAGCCUGUCGCCCAGGCUGGAGUGCAGUGACACCAUCUCAGCUCACUGCAAGCUCUGCCUCCCAGGUUUAAGCGUUUCUCCUGCCUCAGCCUCUUGAGUAGCUGAGACUACAGGCAUGCACCACCAUGCCCAACUAAUGUUUGUAUUUAUAGUGGAGACAGAAUUUCACCAUGUUAGCCAGGCUGGUCUCGAACUCCUGGCCUCAAGUGAUCUGCUUGCCUUGGCCUCCCAAAGUGCUGGGAUUACAGGUGUGAGCCACCGCGCCUGGCCAGGAAAAAGGACGAAGUCUUUAGUUAGCCCAUGAGACCAGUUUGGCCCUGAGCUCAUCCCUCCACUCUCUUCCACAUGGACCCUCUGCUUUAGACACAGCUCAUUGCCUUUACUUGAGAAACUCAAGCCCUCCCUCCCCUCUGUCCUUUGCAGAUGUCCUUUCAUUGGAACCCUCUUGGUAUCAUCUCCUCCUCCCAGUGCCCCACUGUGCUUGACCUGACUCAUCCUCAGGCCUCUGAAGCAUCAUCACUUCAAGACCUGUGUUGUGUCUCCUCUGGAUCCUCACAGUGCCUCUGUCUGUCCCGUUCACGUGGCGUAUGUAGGGGUUCAGCAAACAUUUGUUGCACUGAAUUACUAAAUUCCACAGCCGCUUAUACUUUUCCUAUCAACAGUUUCCCCUCCUUCAGCCAAAUCCUAUGUGCCCCUCAAAGCCCUGUUGGAACCCCAUCUCCUCCAGGCCUUCCCUGAGCCCCACAGUCCUCCCAGCUCUUUUCUUCUGAGAUGCAUCUGGUAUGUCUCAGUCACAUCCGGGGCAGCAAGCAAUCUUUUUAUCCCAUAAGCUUGGCAAGAUCAGCAACCCUCAGACUCCCCAGCUAUGACCUGUGGUGCUGAGCACUGUGCCUUCCUGCCAGACAGUGCUCAACAAACGCUGGUGAGCUUGGGGGAAGCCAAGCUGAGCUCCUGUGUUGGCCUCUCCUCCCUGCCACUGGCCAAUAACCAAAAUCCUAACCCAGCCUUGAAGCAAAGCAUCUUACAUCCUGUAUUCCUAUAAGGAGCCAGGGAGACAUCCUUAGUUCCCACUUUACAGGACAGGAAACUAAGGGAGUAGAGGAACCCAUUUGUAUUAGCCAGGGUUCUCUAGAGGGACAUAAUUAAUGGCAUAUAUAUAUAUAUGUGUAUAUGUGUAUAUAUAUGUAUAUAUAUGGGUGUAUGUAUAUAUAUGUGUGUAUAUAUAUAUAUAAAGGGGAGUUUAUUACAUAUUAACUCACACGAUCACAAGGUCCCACAAUAGGCCGUCUGCAGGCUGAGGAGCAAGAAGAGCCAGUCCCAGUUUCAAAACUGAGGAACUUGGAGUCCGAUGUUCGAGGGCAGGAAGCAUCCAGCACAUGAGAAAGAUGUAGGCUGGGAGGCUAGACCAGUCUCUCUUUUACAUUUUUUCUGCCUGUUUACAUUCUAGCAGCACUGGCAGCUGAUUAGAUGGUGCCCACCCAGGUUAAAGGUGGGUCUGCCUUUCCCAGCCCACUGAGUCAAAUGUUAAUAUCCUUUAGCAACACUCUCACAGACACACCCAGGAUCAAUACUUUGUAUUCUUCAGUCCAAUCAAGUUGACACUCAGUAUCAACCAUCACACCAUUGUUCAAGGCUCAGGUCUCUGGAUGCCAUCCUAACCCAGGGUCUUUGCAGGUGCUUUUCCUCUGCCCGGAACACUCUUCCCAGAGAUCUCGACAUGGAUGAUGUCGCAGAUUAAAGAUGGCCACAUAGGCCAGGCAUGGUGGCUGACACCUGUAAUCCCAGCACUUUGGGAGGCCAAGGCAGGAAGACAGCCCCAGGCAUAAGUUCAAGACCAGUCUGGGCAUCAUAGUGAGACCCCCAUUGCUACAAAAAAUAAGAAAAAAAUAGCCAGGCAGGGUGGCACACUCCUGUAGUCCCAGCUACUCAGGAGGCUCAGGUGGGAGGAUCGCUUGAGAUGAGGAGUUUGAGGAUGCAGUGAACUAUGAUUGUGUUGCUAUAGUCCUGCCUGGGCAACAGGGCAAGAUAGCGUCUUGCUGGUGUUGUGGUGCAUGCCUACUCAGGAGGCCAAGGCAGGAGGAUUGUUUGAGCCUGGGAGCUUGAGGAUGCAGUGAGCUAUGAUCGUGCCAGUGUACUCCAGCGUGGGCAAUGGAGUG